AUUUAUUUCAGUUUCUAUCCACUGAUUCAAUCACACAGCAGCCACCCAAACACAAGGAUCCACAGGUCAAGCGCGAGAGUAAGAACUACACAAGGAGUUAGAGUACCUUAGCAAAACUUUGCUAUCAGGUUGAGCUGUGAUGGGCGAUGAAGUGUUGUUGCUGAGUAGAGUUUUUGUCGAACUUAAAGUAGGCUCAGAAAGGAUACAUGUCUUCAUACAUGUAUCUCAGUUAUGCAUUCCGCUGUAAACACUGAUUAUUUCAGUUACACCUUCCGUUGCAAACUCUGAUAAUGUUUUAGCCAAGCCCCUAACGAUGCCUUUUUCCUUUUAAGGAAUAUAAUGCGUAUACAAGUUCUUUGA